rnacentral:rRNA from 1 species
CACGUAGGGUGCGAGCGUUGUCCGGAAUUAUUGGGCGUAAAGAGCUCGUAGGCGGUGUGUCGCGUCGGCCGUGAAAACCUGCAGCUUAACUGUGGGCUUGCGGUCGAUACGGGCAUCACUGGAGUUCGGCAGGGGAGACUGGAAUUCCUGGUGUAGCGGUGAAAUGCGCAGAUAUCAGGAGGGAACACCGGUGGGCGAAGGCGGGGUCUCUGGGCC